rnacentral:pre_miRNA from 1 species
CCUUAUCAUUCGCCUGUCCAGACGAUGUUUCUUUGUCUGGACGGAGAACUGAUAAGGGC